CAGCGCGGUAAUUCCAGCUCCAAUAGCGUAUAUUAGUGUUGUUGCGGUUAAAAAGCUCGUAGUUGAAUUUCGGGAUUGGGAUAUAUCGGUCGUGCCUUUAGGGGCAUGAAUCGGUGUGUGGCCAAUUCUCACCUUCUGGUGAAUUGGGAUGCUCUCGGGUGUUUCAAUGAACUAGGACUUUUACUUUGAAAAAAUUAGAGUGUUUAAAGCGGGCAUUUUUGCUUGAAUACGUUAGCAUGGAAUAAUAAAAUAGGACGAUGGUUCUAUUUUGUUGGUUUUAGGACCACGUAAUGAUUAAUAGGGAUAGUUGGGGGCAUUAGUAUUCAAUUGUCAGAGGUGAAAUUCUUGGAUUUAUUGAGGACUAACUACUGCGAAAGCAUUUGCCAAGGAUGUUUUCAUUAAUCAAGAACGAAAGUUAGGGGAUCAAAGACGAUUUAUGUACGUCGUAGUCUUAACCAUAAACUAUGCCGACUAGGAAUCAGACAAAGUUAAUUUUUUAACGACUUGUUUGGUACCUUACG
rnacentral:misc_RNA from 1 species